rfam:Rhabditophanes sp. KR3021 genome assembly, scaffold: RSKR_scaffold0000026
GUCGGUUUGACCGAGUGGUUAAGGUGCUAGUUUCAGGUACUAGUUUUCGCAAGAAAGCGCAGGUUCGAACCCUGCAGUCGACA